GGUGAGGUAACGGCUCACCAAGGCAUCGACGGGUACCGGGACUGAGAGGUUGACCCGGCGCAUUGGGACUGAGACACUGCCCAGACUCCUACGGGAGGCUGCAGCACCGAAUAUUCCGCAAUGGGCGCAAGCCUGACGGAGCGACGCCGCGUGUGGGAUGAAGCCCUUCGGGGUGUAAACCACUCUCAGGGGUUAGCAAGCAAUGGAGGCCAAUACCCUCCGGCGUUAGCAGCCCCAGAGGAAGCCACGGCUAACUUCGUGCCAGCAGCCGCGGUAAGACGAAGGUGGCAAGCGUUGUUCGGAAUCACUGGGCUUAAAGAGCACGUAGGCGGUCCGUCAAGCAUCUUGUGAAAUCCCUCGGCUCAACCGAGGAAUGGCUGGGUGAACUGGCGGACUUGAGGCAGGUAGGGGCACGUGGAACUCUUGGUGGAGCGGUGGAAUGCGUAGAUAUCAAGAGGAACGCCGGUGGCGAAAGCGGCGUGCUGGGCCUGUCCUGACGCUGAGGUGCGAAAGCCAGGGGAGCGAACGGGAUUAGAUACCCCGGUAGUCCUGGCCCUAAACGAUGUCCACUAGGUCGGAGGCUCUCUGACGAUUUUCCGGCCGAAACAAAAGCGUUAAGUGGACCGCCUGGGGAGUACGGUCGCAAGGCUAAAACUCAAAGGAAUUGACGGGGGCUCACACAAGCGGUGGAGCAUGUUGCUUAAUUCGAUCAACGCGAAGAACCUUAUCCUGGGCUUGACAUACUUGGAUACCCAUCUGGAAACAGAGUAGGUUGCUCUUCGGAGUGAAACUUGUACAGGUGCUGCAUGGCUGUCGUCAGCUCGUGUCGUGAGAUGUUGGGUUAAGUCCCGUAACGAGCGAAACCCUUGUCGCCAGUUGCCAGCGCGUAAUGGCGGGGACUCUAGCGAGACUGCCGGUGUUAAACCGGAGGAAGGUGGGGAUGACGUCAAGUCCUCAUGGCCUUUAUGCCCAGGGCUGCAAACGUGCUACAAUGGUCGAAACAAACCGAAGCGAAGCCGCGAGGUGGAGAAAAUCGGACAAAGUCGGCCUCAGUUCGGAUUGGAGUCUGCAACUCGACUCCAUGAAGUCGGAAUCGCUAGUAAUCGUGUAUCAGCGCGACACGGUGAAUGUGUUCCUGAGCCUUGUACACACCGCCCGUCAAGUCAUGGAAGCUGGUAGCGCCCGAAGUCGGCAUAUGUCAGUGCUGCCGAAGGU
rnacentral:rRNA from 1 species